AUUGAACGCUGGCGGCAGGCCUAACACAUGCAAGUCGAGCGAGCGGCGGACGGGUGAGUAAUGUCUGGGAAACCGCCUGCUGGAGGGGGAUAACUACUGGAAACGGUAGCUCAUACCCCAUACCAUCAGAUGUGCCCCGAUGGGAUUAGCUGGUAGUUGGGGUAACGGCACACCUAGGCGACGAUCCCUAGCUGGUCUGAGAGGAUGACCAGCCACACUGGAACGGAGACACGGUCCAGACUCCUACGGGAGGCAGCAGUGGGGAAUAUUGCACAAUGGGCGCAAGCCUGAUGCAGCCAUGCCGCGUGUGUGAAGAAGGCCUUCGGGUUGUAAAGCACUUUCAGCGGGGAGGCGUUACCCGCAGAAGAAGCACCGGCUAACUCCGUGCCAGCCGCCGCGGUAAUAC
rnacentral:rRNA from 1 species